rnacentral:rRNA from 1 species
CUACGGGGGGCAGCAGUGGGGAAUAUUGCACAAUGGGCGCAAGCCUGAUGCAGCCAUGCCGCGUGUAUGAAGAAGGCCUUCGGGUUGUAAAGUACUUUCAGCGGGGAGGAAGGGAGUAAAGUUAAUACCUUUGCUCAUUGACGUUACUCGCGGAAGAAGCACCGGCUAACUCCGUGCCAACAGCCGCGGUAAUACGGAGGGUGCAAGCGUUCAUCGGAAUUACUGGGCGUAAAGCGCACGCAGGCGGUUUGUUAAGUCAGAUGUGAAAUCCCCGGGCUCAACCUGGGAACUGCAUCUGAUACUGGCAAGCUUGAGUCUCGUAGAGGGGGGUAGAAUUCCAGGUGUAGCGGUGAAAUGCGUAGAGAUCUGGAGGAAUACCGGUGGCGAAGGCGGCCCCCUGGACGAAGACUGACGCUCAGGUGCGAAAGCGUGGGGAGCAAACAGGAUUAGAUACCCCUGUAGUC